rnacentral:rRNA from 2 species
UGGUAACACAUGGAGCUGACUGUUACUAAUAGGUCGAGGGCAUAACCAAA